rnacentral:lncRNA from 1 species
GAUACCUUCAGAUUUUGAUUUGUCUUUUAGUCCCUAUUUAUUUACUACAUUAGUCCCCCAUUCCCUAGCUUGUUACCCAAGUUAUCUCAAUAAAAAUCUUAACUGCAAUUACGCCCUAUUCGAGAAGUUUCUACACUUAACUACCAAAGAUUCUUUGUCACAAAACCUGAAUUGCCCUUAUGUUGCUCCUAUAACUACUAACCUUAUCCAUACUUACCCUAGUCGACUUAACCAUGAUCAAAUGACCUAAAAUCUGAACCAUAGAACCCUAAUUACCCAAAUAUCUGAAUUAGUU